CACAGCUCAUGUUAUUCUCUCUCUUCAGUAUUCUCAACUUAUUAUCUGCGAUACAAGUUGUAACCCCGUUCCUCCAUGGAUUUUGCAGUACUUUCGCAUUCAUAGCUUAAAGGAAAUUAACUUCCAUUUGUAGAUGCUCUACCAUCUUCUUCACAAGAUAAAUAGGGUUUUGGACUUCUUCGCUGCUCUAACUUUAUUGCAUCAAGGAAGCUUUCGGGUGUAACACAUUGCUUUGCUUAUAACAAGACAAAUAGUAGGCCUAUCUUGCUUGACUAUGAGGGUACUAAGAAGCCUGAGGAUAAGGUGAACAAAUUCCUUGGUAAAGAAGUCAAACCUCAGUGUUGAAUGGUUAUUAUACACAAUAUAAGGUUCUACCGUUAGUUUCAAAUUUGAUGUCAUUUUGUUUAUUUUCGAUUCCAGAAAAAAUUUCAAAAGUGUCCUAUGUUUUGGUAGCGUUGAAAAAUGUAAAACAAAUGCAAGUGGGUUUACAAUACUUAAAGAGGAUGUACACUAUUGAAAGAAUACGAAAGUAAGCAAAAAAAAAUCUGAAUUGGUAAAAUAUCGUGGGUCCUAGAGCUUCUACAAUGGAUAAUUUUCAUAUAAUUUGAUGGAUGUGGGUAGGGAUUUUACAGUGAGUGGCAGGGGUAAGGAUUCUUUGAGCCACUGGUUAUCUCCAUGUCCAAGACUCGGCUAUCAGCUGAACAUGGUUAUUUUAAAAGGUUUGACAUUGUUGCUUCUUUGGUUUCAUCAACACAUAUUAGAUUAUUAUCUUCUUAUGUCUUUUUCAACUAACUGUUUGUAUCCCUUUAAUUUAAUCCUUUAUUUAUGUGGAAUAAGAUUUACAAUGGGAAUCACGCCCAACAGCUGCAGACAUAGACUGAAAAGAGCAACAUUACCUAUUAUGGAGCAUUAUACAGAAGCAAGAGAUUGUUAGUCAAUAGAUCAAAAGGAAAGUGCUCUGGCAUAGCAUCAUCAAAACUCGAUCCUGACUUUGGUGUAUGGCAAGCAAAAGAACUUCUUCAUCUAUCAACCCUCUUUUUGCUUGAUAAAGUACAAAUGUUUGCAUCCAAUGUUGAUCAGAAAUCAAGUAUGGCCUAAUACUAUCUUAAUGAUAUAGUCGAAGUUACAAAAAUGCUUCAACACCUUUCAAAAGAAACUGCAACACUAAGUGUUUCUGUUGAUAAAAUAUAAGUAUGACGUACUUAUCAGGAACUGCACUUUUGUUC